UACGUAGGUGGCAAGCGUUGUCCGGAUUUAUUGGGUUUAAAGGGUGCGUAGGCGGCCAAUUAAGUCAGUGCUGAAAUACUCUAGCUUAACUAGAGGGGUGGCAUUGAUACUGAUUGGCUUGAGUGAAGUCGAGGUAGGCGGAAUUGACGGUGUAGCGGUGAAAUGCUUAGAUAUCGUCAAGAACACCGAUAGUGAAGACAGCUUACUAGACUUCAACUGACGCUGAGGCACGAAAGUGUGGGGAUCAAACAGG
rnacentral:rRNA from 1 species